GAGAGAGUGGUGUAAGGUGAUUUGAAUUGUAGGACACGAGAGGGCAUCCGAUUUAUUAAGUAAGUGGCUGUGAGAACUGCUUCUUUCCAGAGAAAUUUGGAUAUAUGAGUGGUGAACAUGAUUGAUCUAACCAUCUCAAGGAUAUGUUUAUUUUUCCUUUCGACUAUGCCGUUUUGUUGUGAGGUAUGUACACAAGAGCUCUGGUGAAUAAUACUAUGGUCAGUAAACUAUUUUCUAAGAGUGGUUUCAAAGUAUUCACAAGUAUUGUCGAAUUUCAACACUUGGAUGGUAGUUUGAAAUUGUGUUUGGAUCAUUUUAUAAAAUUUUUUAAAGGUCCGAUCUGAGAUUUAUCCCUCAUAAGGAACACUCAGGUAAUUCUUGUAUGAUCAUCAAUAAAAGAUACAAACCGCCUAGUUCUGGUAAUGUUGGUGACUCUGGAAGGUUCCCAUACAUCGUUAUAGAUUAUAAUGCAAAUGGUUUUGAAGGUUUGUAUAACGGACUAGGACAUGAACUUUGAAUAUAUUUAAAAAAUUGACAUAGUUCACAUUGAAAUGAAAUGAGAUCCUUUUCUUUAAAUAGUAAAGGGAACAUUUUUUUCAGGUACACAAAAUUUGGGUCUUUUAGUCUAUAGUGUCACAACAUGAUAGCAUGAUCGUUAUUUGAAUGACUUAUAGAAACAGAAUUCACACAUACGGCAUUGUGAGUUUGUCUUCUAGAAGUAUUGGUUUGAAACAGGUACAGUCCUGAGCUUAUCCUAGUAUUGCCAAUCAUUUUUUCUGAGUUCAAAUUCUGAAAUUCACACAUGUUAGAGACAAACUUAGCAGCACAAUUUAAAUCUUCACAAAGUUUGCUUACUGAUAAUAAGUUACAAUCCAGAUUGGGAACAUGAAGAACUGAACAAAGAGUUAAAUUUGAUGACAGGUUUACGGAACCCGUUCCUGCCACUUUUGCGAGGGACCCAUCGGCAAUUCUGAUUGAAUAAUCUUUUUUACAAUUGCUGUACUUUUGGAAUAGUGAAGCAGCCCCGGUCAUGUGGUCCGAUGUUCUUGAGUCUACAACCCAAACCUGCCUUUUUUCUGAGUAAGCAGAUAGGCCAAGAAUAUUAUCUUUGUGUGCCACUGAAGCACUGACCGGAUAACUUUUCUGUGACAGCAUGCGUUGGAGUGCUUCCAUUUGUUCUGGGCUAAAAGGGUUGCUCUCCGCAGCAGUCAGUUGAGUCACUGGAAUUUCUUCAGCAACAGUGUGAUUUCCCUAGUGCCUAUUUGAGUUCU
rnacentral:lncRNA from 1 species